GUCUACGGCCAUAUCACCCUGAACACACCCGAUCGUGUCAGAUCUCAGAAGCAAAGCAGGGUCGGGCCUGGUUAGUACUUGGAUAGGAGACCGCCUGGGAAUACCGGGUGCCGUAGGCU
rnacentral:rRNA from 1 species